rnacentral:rRNA from 1 species
UACGGAGGAUCCAAGCGUUAUCCGGAAUCAUUGGGUUUAAAGGGUCCGUAGGCGGUUUGGUAAGUCAGUGGUGAAAGCCCAUCGCUCAACGGUGGAACGGCCAUUGAUACUGCCAGACUUGAAUUAUUAGGAAGUAACUAGAAUAUGUAGUGUAGCGGUGAAAUGCUUAGAGAUUACAUGGAAUACCAAUUGCGAGGCAGUUACUACUAAUGAUUGACGCUGAUGGACGAAAGCGUGGGUAGCGAACAGG